GAAGGUAUAGCUCAGUGGUAGAGUGCAUGCCUAGCAUGCACAAGGUCCUUGGUUCAAUCCCCAGUACCUCCA
rnacentral:tRNA from 1 species